rnacentral:rRNA from 1 species
UACGUAGGGUGCAAGCGUUAAUCGGAAUUACUGGGCGUAAAGCGUGCGCAGGCGGCCAUGCAAGACAGAUGUGAAAUCCCCGGGCUCAACCUGGGAACUGCAUUUGUGACUGCAUGGCUAGAGUACGGCAGAGGGGGAUGGAAUUCCGCGUGUAGCAGUGAAAUGCGUAGAUAUGCGGAGGAACACCGAUGGCGAAGGCAGCCCCCUGGGUUAACACUGACGCUCAUGCACGAAAGCGUGGGGAGCAAACAGG